rnacentral:rRNA from 1 species
UUCUGACCGUAAACGAUGCCAACUAGCGAUCCGCCGGCGGCUUCCAGGCCCUGGUGGGGAGCUUCCCGGAAACGAAAGUCUUCCGGUUCCGGGGGAAGUAUGGUUGCAAAGCUGAAACUUAAAGGAAUUGACGGAAGGGCACCACCAGGAGUGGAGCCUGCGGCUUAAUUUGACUCAACACGGGAAAACUCACCCGGCCCGGACACCGUAAGGAUUGACAGAUUGAUAGCUUUUUCAUGAUUCGGUGGUUGGUGGUGCAUGGCCGUUCUUAGUUCGUGGAUCGAUUUGUCUGGUUUAUUCCGAUAACGAGCGAGACUCCAGCCUACUAACUAGUACGAGCAUUGCCUCUGUGCUCGGCACUUCUUAGAGGGAUUGGCUGCGUCUAGCGGCACGAAACGGAGCAAUAACAGGUCUGUGAUGCCCUUAGAUGUCCGGGGCUGCACGCGCGCUACACUGGCAAAGGCAACGUGCUUGUCCGUCUCCGAGAGGAGCCGGUAAACCCUUGAAAAUUUGCCGUGAUUGGGAUCGGAAAUUGCAAUUAUUUUCCGUGAACGAGGAAUUCCUAGUAAGUGCGAGUCAUCAGCUCGCGUUG